AUUGAACGCUGGCGGCAGGCCUAACACAUGCAAGUCGAGCGAUUGGCGAACGGGUGAGUAACAUAUCGGAACGUACCGCGUAAUGGGGGAUAACUAAUCGCAAGAUUAGCUAAUACCGCAUAUUAUUCGAGCGGCCGAUAUCUGAUUAGCUGGUUGGUGGGGUAAAGGCCUACCAAGGCGACGAUCAGUAGCGGGUCUGAGAGGAUGAUCCGCCAAACGGGGACUAAGACACGGCCCAGACUCCUACGGGAGGACGCAGUGGGGAAUUUUGGACAAGGGGGGCAAGCCUGAUCCAGCCAUGCCGCGUGUCUGAAGAAGGCCUUAGGGUUGUAAAGGACUUUUGUCAGGGAAGCGGUACCUGAAGAAUAAGCACCGGCUAACUACGUGCCAGCAGCCGCGGUAAUAC
rnacentral:rRNA from 1 species